UCGGGUAUGGUGUAGCGGUAACAUCGUUGACUCUCACUUCACAGGAGUGACUGCUUUCUCAACAGCCCCGGGUUCGACUCCCGGUAUCCGAG
rnacentral:tRNA from 1 species